UUGAAAAGAGAUCACAAAGCAGCAUCUAGUGUCUCCUGUCGCCUCCCCGUGGCCCACGUCUGAUUUCAGCCUCAGCUGCAGUGCACUUGUGCACAGGGUCACACUCACCCCAUGCUGAUCCUGCUGCCUCAAACACACAGGGGUCUUGCUGCUUUUCCCCUGAGGUCUUCUGUGAUAUCCUGUGUGCCCCUUGGCCUGAACAGAAAGACAGUCGCUGGUAGCCCACGUUUUAUAUUCUCAAAAAAGGAAAGGUACACAGGGGGCUCUGCCCUGGACCUGAAAUGGGUGUCAGGUUCCUCUUCUGUGUGGUCAUUUGUCUCCUAUGGGCAGGACCUGCGGAUGCUGGAAUCACCCAGAGCCCAAGGCACAAGGUCACAGUGAAGGGAAAGAAUGUGACUCUGAGGUGCCACCAGAAUGACAAUCAUUACUAUAUGUACUGGUAUCGGCAAGACCUGGGACAUGGACUGAGGCUGAUCCAUUACUCAUUAGAUGUUAACAGCACCACCAAAGGAGACAUCCCAGAUGGGUACAGAGUGUCUAGAGCAAACACAGAGGAUUUCCCCCUCACUCUGGAGUCGCCUACCCCCUCGCAGACAUCUGUGUACUUCUGUGCUACCAGUGACUCCACAGUGCUGCACAGCUGCCUCUUCCCUGCACACAAAGUGUCAUUGGGAAGUCCACAGUUUCUCGGUGCUCAUGAUGGCCUGGGCCCAUCCAGGCAAGAAGACCCACAUGGCAGUCACAGAGACAAUGUUAGACUGGGGGUCUUGAAGCAUGGACGAUAUGACUCAGCACUGAGGUCCAUUCCGGUGCCAUUCAGCCUGAGUGCACAGUGUAUUCAUGUUGGGUAA